UUGAGAAAAGGAGAGUGGGAGGGUUAGGUUACUAUCAAAAAGUACCUGUAUAAUAAAGACCAUUUAAAUUCUCCCCUUCCCAAUGCCAAUGCCAUGCCAUGCCCUCACCCAUAUAUUUAAUACUAUUGCCCCUGCUUCUUUUCUUACAUAUUUUACAUAAUUGCACAUCCAUAGCCAUAUUCGUACACACCACCAUGAACACUGCAAGGAAAAUGACAAAACAUACCUAAUAUCAGCUUCGUUAUAAAGUAACCCAAGAGAAUCCGGUUACAUACUCAGAUUCUUUUUUUUUUUUUACCCCAUGGUUAAUUUUUCUCUCACAGUGACAUAUGCUUUGCUUUUAUUCCGGGGACAAACAUCGUUGUGCUACAACAGUGCUAGACUCUCGUGCCACCUACAACGUGCACAUGGUGUCCUGUGAAUUUGCUAUUGGAUGAGAGCAGAUGUAACAGAUGCAUCAUGCAUGUCAUAUCAGUCAUGGUGUGGGUAGUACCAACUUUUGUUGCCUUUCAAUUCAUUUAUGGCGGGGGUAUAAGCAAAA